GGUCAUGGCUCAGUGGUAGACUGCUCGUCUGGCACGUGUGAGGCACUGGGUUCAAUCCUCAGAACCA
rnacentral:tRNA from 1 species